UCUGAACUAUGCCACAUCAGAUGAAAAAAUCAACCAAUCAGGUUUUAAUUGUUUGCCAGAUCAGCUCUACCCACUAAACGUCGCGUUUCCACUAGCGGUGUCUCUGACUCUCGCGUCUCCACUCUUCUUCCAUCUUCUGCUCUUUUGUCUUCCUUUUUUCUUCCGGUGCGAGAACCAAUACACCUUCAUAAAGCUCUUCUUAAUCAAUUACACACGAUCCCAUUCAAUGCGACCUUCGGUGGACGCUCUGCUAUAAAAAAAGUGAUCUCUAUGCAUUUCUUCUUUACAAAAUGCCUUUCUUCUUUACACACAGUUUCCGAAUUGAAGCCGGAACGUUGUUGUCAAGUCGUUGUCACACGCUUUCUCCAAUUUUCUGAAGCUAGGACACAGGACUCUCAUGAUCCUCUUGGAUGACAAGGUAGUAUCUUCUCUGAUCAUUUUCUGUGAUUAUUAUUACUUCGUUUCGUGCUCCUCUUUAAACAUUUCCUCCUCAUAUUUCCGUUCAUAUAAAGCAGUUUUUCCUUUUUUUUUCUUAAUCUUCCUAAAACUUCCGUAAAACGUUGAGUCGUCACUGUAGAGUGUCGCAUCUUCUUCGAACGGGAAGAGGGUUUUGCGGCUUAGUUUGUCAAACUCUCAUCGUCACUGAGAAGGAAUAUGACAGAGGAGAGAGAGAUGAAAAGAGGUCGGUGAUUGCUUCUCUGAUGGUCGUAAAAGAUGCACUUGAAUCACUCCGAAAUCUGGUACUAUUUCUCUUUCACUCUUCCGAAAUUGAAGUUGAUGAUUGGCAACUGAAAGUGUCAGUUUCCUCCUUAUGAUUCUGAGCUUGAGUAGUUUAAAAGAUCUGAUAUUAGGCUUGGAAGUAAGUAUUUGAAUGUAGAGCUCAAAUCUUGAGUAUUUCUUUGUGAUUUCUACUGUACAAUUGACCACAUAAACAAAAUCCGGUUCUUCAUCAUUCCCUUAAUUUGAUGGGCUUAGUCCUUAACUUUAUCUUGCCUUGAAUCUUUUCACCGGAUGGAGUUUUUUUUUGUUUCACGUUAAAGACCUAUCUUGCAUUGCUUUCCAUGAUGAAGAAUGGGGAGUUCCUGUCCAUGGUGACAAAUAAAAAUGUCCAGUUGCCAGGUACAUAUUCCAAAUUUUGCAUUAUCCAAACAUCUCGUAGAAGCCUCUUUUUCUCUUUCGGGCAUCAUUAGUCAGGUUGGCCACAAUCAGGACAACCUACAAUGACCACACCAGAUAACCCACCGGUUAUGGUUAACAUCCGUAUUGCUCACAGAUUUCACGCACACUGAACCACUGCUUUCUAUGAGCAAGAAAGCUUCUGCCUGCAGCAGAGACAAUCCAAACUCCAGUUCGGAGAGGAUUAGAAGUUUAGAACAAAAGGUCGUGAUAAAAACUUUCAAAGGCGGCCAUGGUCAAUGCAUGAAUAUCUAACACCACCACCAUACACCACUAUUACUGCCUGCAACGUGACUUGAAACUGUUACAGUUGCACAACCUUUGGGAAAAGCUGUGCGGGGAGUUCGUUAUCAUAUCCCUGCAGCAAAAAGAGGUCAAACAAAACCCUCCUAAACCAACUUGAACUCCCUAUUAAUUCUGCUUAAGCAAAUCAGUCCAAAGACGGCACAACCUCCGUUGGUUGCUGAUAAAUACAACACUGGAACCUCCACUGCAAAUAUGAAGCUGGUGAAAACAAAGGUCCAUGUCUUUGUCCUUAUGUUUUCUUCCAACAAAUUUCAGUUAGUUCAAGAUUAUGUCACAUUUAUCUCCUCCUUUGCAGCAACUGCAAAGAAACUCUAUAUUAUAACAUACAAGAUUACUACGAAAUUUGUGUAUAUUCUGUAUUGAGAUGUAUUGUUCAUUUGUAUAUAGAUCAUGUUAAAUUU